UUUCAGUAAUGUGUUGUUGUUACCUUGGAGCUUCCAUGGCUACGAGAAUGCUCGAUGAGUCGAUACUCGUGCAUAAUCCAGUUUGUUUUCGUGCCUUUUGGAGCUUUCCCGGCGUAGAAAACCAGAGCUUUUUUAAUCCCGACACGGUGACCAUCCGACAUGAUGAUCUUGUCGGUACCCGUUGCCUUCCAAUAACCUGACCCGGCAACUCUAUUGGGUCUUGACCCGUUCGGAUAUUUUCGAUCUCUUGGGCUAAAGAAAUAACACCAUACUAGAAUUGAAGUGUUGCUUACUUGGCAAAUCCCAAGGAUCGAACUUGUAGAGAUCGAUAUCUCCGAUGAUCUGGAGAGAGAAAUGGUAGCCUGCAACUUUCCGACAGAGAUACUGAACAAGAAGCUCUUCAUCUGUCGGGUAAAAACGAAAACCUGGAGGUAAGCUCAACUGGGCUAACGGAUCCUUCUCUCUAACUCCCAUUUUUUUCUCUACAGCAGAUAAAAUAAUGUGUUUAGAUGUUUAAGUUCGUCGAUCUCUUUUAGACAACCAUGCAAGUAGCUGCUUUAUAUAUAGGCUGUGGAAAAGACGGGCUCUUCGAGGAUAAGUACGGUCCUUCUUGUCUUACUGUAAAAUCUAAACACGAUUUUCUUUGUGGACCAUUUGGACCAUUGACAUACAGCCACGUACAUGCAACUGCCGACCUUGUCAGUGAGCUGUACAAUCUUUUCGACCGAGAUAAAUGUGCGUAAUAUUCCUGUGUGUAUGGUUUUUUAGUAUGAGAAAACAUUAUCGCAGUAAUUUUUUUUUUCUUGGUUCA